AGUAAGGAAUAUUGGACAAUGGUCGCAAGACUGAUCCAGCCAUGCCGCGUGCAGGAAGACGGCCCUAUGGGUUGUAAACUGCUUUUGUACGGGAGAAAACCCUUUCACGAGUGGAAGGCUGAUAGUACCGUAAGAAUAAGCAUCGGCUAACUUCGUGCCAGCAGCCGCGGUAAGACGAAGGAUGCAAGCGUUAUCCGGAUUCAUUGGGUUUAAAGGGAGCGUAGGUGGAUUUGUAAGUCAGUGGUGAAAUCUCUCAGCUUAACUGAGAAACUGCCAUUGAUACUGCAGAUCUUGAGUACAGAUGAUGUGGGCGGAAUAUGACAUGUAGUGGUGAAAUACUUAGAUAUGUCAUAGAACACCGAUUGCGAAGGCAGCUCACAAAACUGUAACUGACACUGAGGCUCGAAAGUGCGGGGAUCAAA
rnacentral:rRNA from 1 species